rnacentral:pre_miRNA from 1 species
AUGUGAUAGGUGACAGAAGAGAGUGAGCACACAUGGUGUUUUCUUGCAUAUGAUAUACUUGAACCUAUGCGUGCUCACUGCUCUAUCUGUCACCCCCACACUCU